AGUGAACGCUGGCGGUAGGCCUAACACAUGCAAGUCGAACGGCAGCACAGUAAGAGCUUGCUCUUACGGGUGGCGAGUGGCGGACGGAUGAGGAAUACAUCGGAAUCUACUUUUUCGUGGGGGAUAACGUAGGGAAACUUACGCUAAUACCGCAUACGACCUACGGUUGAAAGCAGGGGAUCUUCGGACCUUGCGCGAUUGAAUGAGCCGAUGUCGGAUUAGCUAGUUGGCGGGGUAAAGGCCCACCAAGGCGACGAUCCGUAGCUGGUCUGAGAGGAUGGUAAGCCACACUGGAACUGAGACACGGUCCAGACGCCUACGGGAGGGAGCAGUGGGGAAUAUUGGACAAUGGGCGCAAGCAUGAUCCAGCCAUACCGCGUGGGUGAAGAAGGCCUUCGGGUUGUAAAGCCCUUUUGUUGGGAAAGAAAAGCAGCAGGUUAAUACCCCGCUGUUCUGACGGUACCCAAAGAAUAAGCACCGGCUAACUUCGUG
rnacentral:rRNA from 1 species